CUUACGUGUAAACCACGCGUGUCGUCAUUUUCCCGCGGACUGGUCGUAUACCAGUACAGGUGUAGUUCUAUUUUAACUACAUGGUAUGACUCCACAACUCAAUAAACUUUCAGGGAAUCAUGCAUCGGAUCAAUGAACUCGAUUAAUGUUUGUUUAGCACAAAAAGUUAGCCUCGACAUGUGCAUUAUGAAUCGUUUGACUUCCAUGGUGCCCCCAUAUUCAGUGUAUACCGUCGCCUCACUGCAUGCGCUUUUGUGAUAUUUAUGGAAUGGUUCACAAAGGAUGCUCACAUACAGUUCCUGGCAAACCAACGCAAUCUCGCGUAGAUCAGGGGCAGUAUAUGCCAGGGUGGAAUUUCGGCAUUAGCACUAGUACAUGUCAAUAUCCAAGAGUCACGACUUGUUCUCCGCGGCAGAAAUGGCGAGGAAAUAUUUUGUCGUUUGCCUCAUGAUUGCAUUAUCAUACUUGGUGUGUUGUAAAUUUUGGAUCAUGCCCUCUCAACGCUUAGUGCCUCGCCCUCAGUUAAUACGGCCGAGUCCCCACAAUCGCCAGAUGGCUGCCACUAAGAAUGGACUUGGCUCCGGUCUGAGUUUCACCAAAAGCAAGAAUCUGACGCUUACGAUCCGCAUGGCAGCUGUUCCCAAAAUUGUCAGUCUCCUUUACUGUGUACUUCUGCGAUCUGCAGCUUUAUUCUGGUCUCCAAGGUAUGGCCCCAUCAGUUUAAUACUGGACGCAGAGUCGGAGAGGGACCAUCAACUGGCAGCUAAGCUCCGCAGGCACGAACAAGCACUCGGCAUGCAGUUCGAUAUCUCGUACGAGCCAUUACCAGCAGAUGCGGACACGAUCUUUCACAGCACGAUGAGGUCCAUGGGGUAUUGCCGGCAACUCUGGAGCAGCUUCUUCACGGAUAUGUACGUCAGCGCUGACGUCGUUGCCUGGAUUGACACGGAUAAUAUGUUCUUCUCGCCUGUAACCCCUGAGAACAUCUUCAAUGGCGGUAGAAUACGAGUUCUUGGGGUGCCUCUUGUCGGUACUAGAUGGGAAAGACUCGUCAGUGAUUCUGUAAAAACCGCAAUCGGCUGGAAAACGAUUGCACGCUUCCCCAACUUUCCGAUCUACCUCUGGAGAGAUACGAUUACAAAUUGCAGGAAUCACAUUCUAAAAACUUUAAACCUGACAUCAUUGAUAUACAAGGCAGCACGUGAAAGACCUACCACUCUCCCCUAUGGAUGCUCUCAACUUACCCAAAGCAAGGGUUAAAUGAGUGCGUUUGAAUAGCCAUCAAGUGAUACUCGUGUAUGCUUCGGGUGUCAUCCUCAGGCACCCUAGCUCUCUGCAUGUGCCAUUAUUACACAAUGGAGGCAGCAAGACGGCACGUAAGCUAGGACUUAAAUUUUACAGAGUUAUAUAUGUUUCACCUAUAUGAAGUAUUUUUUAAUAAACGGCGUUAUUCCCAUGACACUGCUAACUAAAUAAAGUUGAUGUCGCUCCCGCUAACUCUUUAAGAGUCGAUAGCACGCUUUCAUCAUGUUCAUGAUUGAAAGAAUGAAAUUUCCGUAUACCUAAGCUUUAACAUUAGGUUUCAAACAUUUCUGGGUGGAGACGAAUAUGACGUUCGAGUUGGCUCAUCUUGCACUAUCUGUUCGAAUAAUUUGGUGUAUUCAUGGGGAAACUAAUUGGACGCACCCUUCUUGAGUAACUAGGCCAACCAACACGCAGCUAACGUGAUAAUUUGCUGCCAAUGGUUGAUCUUAAAAACCGUACAUGCUACUGUUGAUAGGAAGUCACUUUAUUAUAUUUAUCUCUACACCAUGUAUUGUAUGACAAACUUUUACAAUUGUUCCGGAACUUGAAUCACACAUUUCCACUUUCCUUUCCUACAGGUUUCUCGUUUUGGAGAUGCUUUUGUCAAAAUCUAUCCACAGGGCAAAAAAAUCUGCCCAAGUGACCUCAUUUUGACCUAUGCUUAUUACUUUGAGCACAACCGCUACUCUUGGCACAUAGAUGUUAAGAAACAAUCCCUUGCAAAAUACAACCAACACCAGGUGCCUGCUGGAUUUGAAAUCAGAGGGAACGAAACAGAACCCGGAUUUCUACAAGUCGCAACACACAAGAAAUACAAUUUCAUGUUUCAAGGUUUCUGCAUCGCAAAGCGGUACGUGGGCACACUUCCUGCUAACUGCAAGAUGUACGAAAACACUACCAACUUCCAACACUUCAGCGCCAUUUACAACCACCUCAAGACAUGGUGUGCUCCCGGCAGGGGACGGGCAAAGUGUGCCCGACUUAUUGAAGCACACUAUCAGAACUUCGCCGGGUAUUAUCGGUCAAGACUGAUGGACCUAGAUCUUCAGCGAGUGCUCGCUGUAGAAGAAGAGGCUAAGAAAGAAAACAUCUCGUGUUCAAAGAUAUUCGAAUUUUGAUCAAUUUUGAUUUUUUCACUACUUAGUACGCGUUGGAAUGAGUCAAAUAUUUUGAAGGUACUGUUCGUUAGAAAUAUACAAUAAAUACAAUUGGUGUUAUUUUAUUUGAUUUGCAUUUGAAAUUUGUAAGUUUAUUUGUUUUGCUGUCCCUUUUGAUUUGAUUGUUGCGUUUUUAGGUAUUCCAACUCUGCAAAAACUGGGAUGUUAAAUUUAACACCCCCGGGGUUAUCAGAGGACUACACCAACACUUUUCGCUGGUAUUGAAAAGUUUGGUGUUACUUUCAACACCCUUUACUGUAUUGUAACACUAAUUAUAGGUGUGAAAAGUAACACCAACGGUGUUAAAGGAACACCCUAUGGUGUGGUCAUUUGAUAAGUGUUGUUGAAUGUUGAAAGUGUUGAUUUUAACAUCACAGUUUUUACAGUGAAGGUUUCUACCUGAUUCAAAAUACGAACGUAACAUUUGUUCUCGUUUUUUUGUACAAAUGAAUUCUUUUAAAUUUGACCUUAACUUACUCGUAAUUUUAUGAAUGAUGACCUCAUAGUAACGUCCAAAAAGCGUGUUCAAGCGUUGCGAACAGUGCGGUGGGCGCGCGAGUGAUACAUUCCUUUCUAGUGUGGGCACCACAGAGCGCUGUCUGGAAGGCCAAGUCCACGGUCGCACACUUGCCUGGAGCUCGAGGAAUUUGGGGAAUAUGGAAUUUCAUGAAAAGAAAAUAAAGCAACGUAGGAUUUGAAUCAUUUAAUUGUAAUCAUAGCUGGACAUGUGAACCCCCAAAAGCUGACGUGUAAAUAAAACUCUGUAUAAUUGAGACAGUUACAUUUGGACUCAUUCACUGCCCGUCUUCCUUUGCCUUGGCGUCCUCAAACGAAAAAUUUAAGCGGACAUCCUUAAUAGAUGGCCUGUCAUUACAGAAAGUGGCGUCGUAGACAGGAGGUCGAGGACAAUUUAGGAUGGGUUGUUCUCAAACAUUCUGAGUUCUGUUAUUCCCGAAUGUCUGUCUUAGGGCCUAUGAUGUUGCUGAUUUGAGCACAAGGUCAGUUUGAUGUCUUCUGAAGCAUCAGCCAAAUUCUGGUGCGCUGGUGAGACAUUCUUGCUCUUUGGAAUCAUUCCAGGCAGGACCUAAUGUGUUUUCUCCCUUAACUUGUGGACUUGUGUGAUACAUCGUGGUAGUUUUUCCACGAUUUACUGAUAAAUUUGUAUGUCAGUGGUGCACUGGUACUUUUUAAGUGUCGGCAAAUUUAUGCACUGUCGUGUAGUAGAAAUGGAAUUUAUUUUUGCAUAUCUCUGUUUUCGCUCUGUACUCGUGUAUCUGAUAUAUAGUUUAUAUGUAGGGCAAUGGGCUGGCCUUGUCAGUCUCAUAGUCUCAUCACUUUUUUCUGCUGUAUUUGUAUUGAAGUGGGAAACAGUUUUUACAUUAAGGUUUCCCUUUAUGAAACAGCAUUUUGUGCCUACGCUGUUGGUAUUUUAGGUGUGUUUAAUCCAGUACAUUUACAUGCUUCCACCCAACAUUAAAAGGGAUGUGUGUCUUUAUAUUCCCUGAUUUGUUCUUGUGGAGCUUUUAUUGACUGACAGGUCCCUUUUGUAUUGUGAUCAUUCUUGUCGACCUGUUACCUUCACAUACGACGGAGUCUCUUGGGCAAUUUCUCUCUGUGGUUUUCGUGUAUGAGAAACCAUUUAACAUUGGUCACUAUUUCACCUUUCUGAAGAUACAAAGUGUCACUGUUUUUUCCCCCUACUGUUUAGUGGUGGGGGUUCGCUGCAGCUGAAUAGUAGUAGCACUGUACUAAAUAAUCUUUUAAAUUAUUACCGAACAUUGUUGUGUAAAUUAGUUACUAGAUUACUGUGCGCAUGUAACAUUAUCUUACGGUACCUGUUGUCUGUUCAUGAGAAAGUAUGGUAUCCGCAGAAGCCCUCAUAAAGGCUCUAGUUGACGUGCUCAAAACUAGUGAGCCUACCAAUAUUUUGUGGCCGAGCCAAAAAUGCAGGGGACCUUUCCCUGGCAGAUUGGUUGGACGAGUUUUAAUCGUAUUGCAGAGAAUUUCAUCUUGAGAGUGUUGCAAAGGCAUGGCAGUUCUUGACCAUCUAGGAGGCGUUGCCAGAGAAGAAGUAGUUUGUAGUCCUCCUGAAUAUCGUAGAGAUUUGUCUAAGAUCAUCGCAAUUUUGAGCGCAAGAUUUGGUUCUCAAGAAUCUAUUCAUUCUCUCAGAGAAAAGUUUUAUGCUUGGAAGCAAAAACCGGGUGAAUCAUUGAUGGAUGGGCAAUUAGCUUAUUAGAGAUAUUCCAAACCAGUUGAUGUUGACAAUUCACAUUAGUUUUUUGUUGUGCGAAGCAAGAUGACGUUCAAACUUGUACACUGUAAAACCCGAGAACACUUGACGCGUUUGUAAAAUGUAUUUUUGUGUUAAAAACAUUAAACACAAUAUGUUUUUCUAAACACUGGUGGUUAGAACAUGUUCAGAUUAGCUCAACACUGCGUUUACCUUGUGUAAAUUUCCAGAAGUACUAUGAUUAAAAAUCAGACUAAGAGCUCAAAACAAGUGUCGAUGACAAGGACGGAGGUCAGUUUGACAUGUUGCGAUUACUAUCUAAAAAAUGGUAUAUCCAAUGACACUCAAACAAAAAAAAUUAAAAUUGAUGGAAUCAUAAUAUGGUUGACAAACUCAUAAUUCAUUUCUUUGAUUUAUUGAAGUACAAGUAUGUAGCUAUCACUGUUUGCAUCACUGUUUGUAAGAAACUGAGUCUGGAAAAGUUGAAUUUUUCCAAAAGAGCAGUACAUCUUCAAGCGAAACAUGCCAGUUCGUAAAUACUGUGUUCACUGCCGCUCUAAACCGACCGUUUAAAAUUGGACUCCUGAUCAUGCACAAACCAAUUUUUCUACCCGGAUACAUGAUCUAAAAUUAGCUGGUAUCUGGUUCAUAAGUGACCUCGUCACAAAGGAAGACACGCCACAAUUUACCGGCUCCUAUUGAACGCUCGCCGAAGUUGGGGGUUAACUCCCGGUUCCAUGGUUCCAUGCAUUAAGAGACGAUCAAUGCAUGUAACUCUAUUGCAGUGCAUGUGCUGUCGGCGUGGUUUAAACUGAGGUUACCGUGUAUUCAGUGCCAGUAUAAUAAUGGAAAUGAAGAGGUAAAUACAAUUAGAACCCAGGCCGAGAAAACUGUAUUGUGGGUUUUAAAUUAAAAAAAAAACUUGGUUCCUGCAUUGAAUGUUAAGGCAGAGGAAAAAGCAGGGAACCCAAGUGAUCCUCCGUUGGUGUCAACUGAGGUAGAUGACAGGUUUGAAUCUCAAAUUGUUGAAAAUACAGUAGUACACAAUGAUCUUUACAAUGACAAUGAAAGUGAUGAAGGUUAUAGUUCAUCCUCAGAUAUCGAUGGGUCUGAGAAAACCUCAAAUGUGGCCUCUUUCAGUUUUCAGUCGAUCCCAAAUUGGUUGUAUAAAAUGCAAACAUGCUCAGAGAGUGUAUUGAUGGAAAUCUCAUUUCUGCAUGGAGUAGCUCAACUGAAUGAACAUGAUAUGCUUAAAAUAAACACCGCAACUCUACCGUUAAUUCCUUAGCUGCAGUUCUAUAUGGUUGACAUUAAUUGCCGUUUAAAGUACAAUUCCAUUUAAAAUGCAAAUAGCGCCAAAUGCUGACUUCCGUGCCGGAUUUACUUCUCGUCAUUUCGGUUAAAAAGAUAAAUUUACCGAGAGCAAAGUCCCAGUAAUCAUUAUUCAGUUUGUAAACAAUAAUCCAUCACUAGACUGUUCACAACAUUGUGAAAUUGCAUUAGGAAAUAAAUUAACUCCUUUGCCGCUCUGGUGUUCUCGUCCCCCACAAUUAAGUACAUUGAGCUGUUAUUCUCAAAGAACUUUGACCCAGACAGAGCUUUGAUGCUUUUUUUACGGAUGACUGGAUUGUGUGCGCUCACGCGUGUGUGCCUUUAUGUGUGAUGUGAGCGAGUCAUUUCUUUAGUGAAUCUGAAAAAAAAAAACAGGUAGUCGUUGUAACAAAGCAUCGUCAGGACAGGGUUUGAUUCAGUUUUUUGUGUGAGUUAAGGUAAAUCAUAGCAGGAGCCCUUUUCAGCUUUUCAGCUAUAGGUUGAACUAUGUUUGCUAAGCAAUAUUUCUAUCCCCCAAAAAAGUCAAAUCUGAGCAGCGUGUUUCAAUAAGAGAUAAAUAUGUGCUUGGCCGGUUUUAAAUGCACGUUUCAAGAAUAGACGCGAUCAAUGCCCGAGACUUGCACAGUCUCAAAAUGGAUUCAGGGCUAAAUAUUCGACUCAACUUGCCUUGAUUGAUUUAACCCACUUCCUGCCGGGGACUCUGGGAUCGGAGACGUAUCGUUUAUAUUGGGUGCGUUCGAUUAGCUUACACGUGUA